rnacentral:piRNA from 1 species
UGUUGGACGAAUGUCUCUAAGUGUGGCUGU